AUUGAACGCUGGCGGCAGGCCUAACACAUGCACGUCGAACGAGUGGCGGACGGGUGAGUAAUGUCUGGGAACCUGCCUGAUGGAGGGGGAUAACUACUGGAAACUGUAGCUAAUACCGCAUACCAUCGGAUGUGCCCAGAUGGGAUUAGCUAGUAGGUGGGGUAAAGGCUCACCUAGGCGACGAUCACUAGCUGGUCUGAGAGGCAGACCAGCCACACUGGAACGUAGACACGGUCCAGACGCCUACGGUAGGCAGCAGUGGGGAAGAUUAUACAAUGGGCGCAAGCAUGAUGCAGCCAUGCCGCGUGUAGGAAGAAGGCCUUCGGGUUGGAAAGUACGUUCAGCGGGGAGGCGUUACCCGCAGAAGAAGCACCGGCUAACUCCGUGCCAGCAGCCGCGGUAAUUC
rnacentral:rRNA from 1 species